CUCGCUGUGAAGAUGCAGUGUACCCGCGGCAAGACGGAAAGACCCCGUGAACCUUUACUAUAGCUUGACACUGAACAUUGAGCCUUGAUGUGUAGGAUAGGUGGGAGGCUUUGAAGUGUGGACGCCAGUCUGCAUGGAGCCGACCUUGAAAUACCACCCUUUAAUGUUUGAUGUUCUAACGUUGGCCCGUAAUCCGGGUUGCGGACAGUGUCUGGUGGGUAGUUUGACUGGGGCGGUCUCCUCCUAAAGAGUAACGGAGGAGCACGAAGGUUGGCUAAUCCUGGUCGGACAUCAGGAGGUUAGUGCAAUGGCAUAAGCCAGCUUGACUGCGAGCGUGACGGCGCGAGCAGGUGCGAAAGCAGGUCAUAGUGAUCCGGUGGUUCUGAAUGGAAGGGCCAUCGCUCAACGGAUAAAAGGUACUCCGGGGAUAACAGGCUGAUACCGCCCAAGAGUUCAUAUCGACGGCGGUGUUUGGCACCUCGAUGUCGGCUCAUCACAUCCUGGGGCUGAAGUAGGUCCCAAGGGUAUGGCUGUUCGCCAUUUAAAGUGGUACGCGAGCUGGGUUUAGAACGUCGUGAGACAGUUCGGUCCCUAUCUGCCGUGGGCGCUGGAGAACUGAGGGGGGCUGCUCCUAGUACGAGAGGACCGGAGUGGACGCAUCACUGGUGUUCGGGUUGUCAUGCCAAUGGCACUGCCCGGUAGCUAAAUGCGGAAGAGAUAAGUGCUGAAAGCAUCUAAGCACGAAACUUGCC
rnacentral:rRNA from 1 species